rnacentral:rRNA from 1 species
GUGGGGAAUCUUGCGCAAUGGGCGAAAGCCUGACGCAGCCAUGCCGCGUGAAUGAUGAAGGUCUUAGGAUUGUAAAAUUCUUUCACCGGGGACGAUAAUGACGGUACCCGGAGAAGAAGCUCCGGCUAACUUCGUGCCAGCAGCCGCGGUAAUACGAAGGGGGCUAGCGUUGCUCGGAAUUACUGGGCGUAAAGGGCGCGUAUGCGGACAGCUUAGUCAGAGGUGAAAGCCCAGGGCUCAACCUUGGAAUUGCCUUUGAUACUGGCUGUCUUGAGUUUGGGAGAGGUGAGUGGAACUCCGAGUGUAGAGGUGAAAUUCGUAGAUAUUCGGAAGAACACUAGUGGCGAAGGCGACUCACUGGCCCAAUACUGACGCUGAGGCGCGAAAGCGUGGGGAGCAAACAGGAUUAGAAACCCGGGUAGUCC